UCUUCUUUUCCUUUGAUAGCUAAGAUGCACAUGUAAAAUCACAUAAUUGGAUCCUUCGGAGCCUGGUAGAUUCAGUACCAAUUGUCGACUUAGCACUUACCAUGUGCUGCAUAAUUGUUUCAGAUUAGCAUCCUUGUAUAGCAGCAAAUCAACUAGGAGCCUCUCCUGAGAAGCAAAGAUGUAGAUUGUCCACCUCGAAGGUUAUAGUUGCUAAAGAAGCUACAUGAGAUUUAGAAUAUUUUAUCUCACAACUUUCACUUCAUCAGCCCAAUAAUGAAAGCAGAAGUAUGCAUUAAAUAUACAAAGGUCUCCACAAGGUUUGCAUAAGACGUACCUUGACUCUUUAUAUAGACAAAGCUCUGAGGGAUGAAGCGUUUGGGAGCCCGGAUGAAGAAUGCUUCUGAGGCGGAGAAAGAGAAGUGAUGAGAAUACUUCCAAACCGCUCUGAAUUUUUAUUUUGGCAAACUCGGACUCCUUGUUUGAUAAAAUACAUCUGAAGAGCAUUUUUGCGCACUGUUCAAAUAAACUCUUCAUUUU